CACUCCUGCGGGAGGCAGCAGUGGGGAAUCUUGCGCAAUGGGCGAAAGCCUGACGCAGCCAUGCCGCGUGAAUGAUGAAGGUCUUAGGAUUGUAAAAUUCUUUCACCGGGGACGAUAAUGACGGUACCCGGAGAAGAAGCCCCGGCUAACUUCGUGCCAGCAGCCGCGGUAAUACGAAGGGGGCUAGCGUUGCUCGGAAUUACUGGGCGUAAAGGGAGCGUAGGCGGACAUUUAAGUCAGGGGUGAAAUCCCGGGGCUCAACCUCGGAAUUGCCUUUGAUACUGGGUGUCUUGAGUAUGAGAGAGGUGUGUGGAACUCCGAGUGUAGAGGUGAAAUUCGUAGAUAUUCGGAAGAACACCAGUGGCGAAGGCGACACACUGGCUCAUUACUGACGCUGAGGCUCGAAAGCGUGGGGAGCAAACAGGAUUAGAAACCCCUGUAGUCCCAUGAU
rnacentral:rRNA from 1 species